AUUGAACGCUGGCGGCAGGCCUAACACAUGCAAGUCGAACGAGGGGCGGACGGGUGAGUAAUGUGUAGGAACCUGCCCGAUGGAGGGGGAUAACGACUGGAGACGGUAACUAAUACCGCAUACCAUCGAAUCUGCGCAGGUGGGAUUAGCUAGUGGGUGGGGUAACGGCUCACCUAGGCGACGAUCACUAGCUGGUCUGAGAGGAUGACCAGCCACACUGGAACUGAGACACGGUCCAGACUCCUACGGGAGGCAGCAGUGGGGAAUAUUGCACAAUGGGCGCAAGCCUGAUGCAGCCAUGCCGCGUGUAUGAAGAAGGCCUUCGGGUUGUAAAGUACUUUCAGCGAGGAGGCGUUACUCGCAGAAGAAGCACCGGCUAACUCCGUGCCAGCAGCCGCGGUAAUUC
rnacentral:rRNA from 1 species